rnacentral:rRNA from 1 species
GCGUGCGGGGCUAUACAUGCAGUAGAACGCUGAAGAGAGGAGCUUGCUCUUCUUGGAUGAGUUGCGAACGGGUGAGUAACGCGUAGGUAACCUGCCUUGUAGCGGGGGAUAACUAUUGGAAACGAUAGCUAAUACCGCAUAACAAUGGAUGACACAUGUCAUUUAUUUGAAAGGGGCAAUUGCUCCACUACAAGAUGGACCUGCGUUGUAUUAGCUAGUAGGUGAGGUAAUGGCUCACCUAGGCGACGAUACAUAGCCGACCUGAGAGGGUGAUCGGCCACACUGGGACUGAGACACGGCCCAGACUCCUACGGGAGGCAGCAGUAGGGAAUCUUCGGCAAUGGGGGCAACCCUGACCGAGCAACGCCGCGUGAGUGAAGAAGGUUUUCGGAUCGUAAAGCUCUGUUGUAAGUCAAGAACGGGUGUGAGAGUGGAAAGUUCACACUGUGACGGUAGCUUACCAGAAAGGGACGGCUAACUACGUGCCAGCAGCCGCGGUAAUACGUAGGUCCCGAGCGUUGUCCGGAUUUAUUGGGCGUAAAGCGAGCGCAGGCGGUUUGAUAAGUCUGAAGUUAAAGGCUGUGGCUCAACCAUAGUUCGCUUUGGAAACUGUCAAACUUGAGUGCAGAAGGGGAGAGUGGAAUUCCAUGUGUAGCGGUGAAAUGCGUAGAUAUAUGGAGGAACACCGGUGGCGAAAGCGGCUCUCUGGUCUGUAACUGACGCUGAGGCUCGAAAGCGUGGGGAGCGAACAGGAUUAGAUACCCUGGUAGUCCACGCCGUAAACGAUGAGUGCUAGGUGUUGGAUCCUUUCCGGGAUUCAGUGCCGCAGCUAACGCAUUAAGCACUCCGCCUGGGGAGUACGACCGCAAGGUUGAAACUCAAAGGAAUUGACGGGGGCCCGCACAAGCGGUGGAGCAUGUGGUUUAAUUCGAAGCAACGCGAAGAACCUUACCAGGUCUUGACAUCCCGAUGCUAUUUCUAGAGAUAGAAAGUUACUUCGGUACAUCGGUGACAGGUGGUGCAUGGUUGUCGUCAGCUCGUGUCGUGAGAUGUUGGGUUAAGUCCCGCAACGAGCGCAACCCCUAUUGUUAGUUGCCAUCAUUCAGUUGGGCACUCUAGCGAGACUGCCGGUAAUAAACCGGAGGAAGGUGGGGAUGACGUCAAAUCAUCAUGCCCCUUAUGACCUGGGCUACACACGUGCUACAAUGGUUGGUACAACGAGUUGCGAGUCGGUGACGGCGAGCUAAUCUCUUAAAGCCAAUCUCAGUUCGGAUUGUAGGCUGCAACUCGCCUACAUGAAGUCGGAAUCGCUAGUAAUCGCGGAUCAGCACGCCGCGGUGAAUACGUUCCCGGGCCUUGUACACACCGCCCGUCACACCACGAGAGUUUGUAACACCCGAAGUCGGUGAGGUAACCUUUGGAGCCAGCCGCUAAGUUACAAAUU